UACGGAGGGUGCGAGCGUUGUCCGGAAUCAUUGGGCGUAAAGCGCGUGUAGGCGGCCCGAUAAGUCCGCUGUGAAAGUCCAGGGCUCAACCCUGGAAUGCCGGUGGAUACUGUCGGGCUCGAGUCCGGAAGAGGCGAGUGGAAUUCCUGGUGUAGCGGUGAAAUGCGCAGAUAUCAGGAGGAACACCAAUGGCGAAGGCAGCUCGCUGGGACGGUACUGACGCUGAGACGCGAAAGCGUGGGGAGCAAACAGG
rnacentral:rRNA from 1 species